ACUAGUAACUACAACUACCUCACUAUAUUAACUGACCUUUAAAUGUGAUUGUCCUUUUCAUUUGACCAAAUGACAUUUACCUCGUAAAAGAAGCUAUUCAUUCACUUUAGACAACCAAUAUAUGAAAAUAUGCUAAAUUGACAUUUAGAAUUAUCUCAAAACACCUUUUUGAUAACUUAUGUUAUUUCCAUAUGAUUCGAAUUUGAGAUUUUAAAAUGUAUUUGAAAUCCAUUUAAAAUAAUAGCCAGAUAUCAGGUGGUAAUUGGGGUCAUCCGAUAAUGAUAUUAGGAUUUUUCUUAACAGCUAAGUAAUUGCUUCUUUUCCAUGCUGAAGGGCUUCCUACAGAUCAACUAUAGAUGGAGGCCUCCUUAAAGGAAAGAAAACAGACCCAGAGAAGUUACAAAAGAAGCAACCUGUUGAAGACCAAAUGGAGAACUGGCAACAGAGCAGAAUUAGAACUAAUGUCUUUUACCAACAAGACUAAUAUGUUUUCCAUGACCUAUAUCUACAAUUACUUCAUGCGUAAUUACAAUUACAAAUGACCUCCAAAACUUGCCUUCAUGUUUGAAUCAGAGGUCAUUGAUUGGCAGUUCUCCAGUGAGCAAGUUGUGUGAGACGUUUGAAGUGCUACCACACAGGUACUAUGAGAAUCACUCAAGAAUAUUUGAAAGGUAGGCAUAUACGGGCUAAGUACACACUGAAGUGUUCAUAAAAUAAAACGUUCAUAAAAUAGUUCAUAGAACAAAAGGAAACUUCUCUAUCACGACUAUAAAUUGGUCAUGAAUAUACUCACUGUCUUCAGCAGAAGACAGCUGAAAGUUGUUUACUGAAGAGGAAUUUAGCAAUUGAAAGAAAUCUGGGCCAGGUAUGCUGAUUCAAGCCUGUAAUCCUAGCACUUUGGGAGGCCAAGGCAGGAGGAUCACUUGAACCCAGGAGUUCAAGACCAGCCUGGGAGACAAAGUGAGAGCCCAUCCCUACAAAAAAAUUAGCUGGCUGGGUGGUGUGCACCUGUAGUCCCAAUAACUUGGGAGGCUGAGGUGGGAAGAUCAUAUGAACCUAGGAGGUCAAGUCUGCAAUGAGUUGUGAUUGUGCCUCUGCACUCUAGCUUGGGUGACAGAAUGAGACCCUGUCUCCAAAAAAACAAAAUCACAAGCAAACAAAAAGAAAUCUGGGGUAACUUAUUAAAAG
rnacentral:lncRNA from 1 species